CAGCCUCCUAGAGUGCUAGGAUUACAGGCAUGAGCCACAGUGCCUGGCUGGUCCCUGACUCUUGAAAGCAUCUCUCAAUACGUCCUGAGUCUAACUGGGCUCGGGACAUAGUGGUGCUCCCUUUGUCUUCUUGGCUCGGGGAUUUUGGUAACAGGAGAUAAGUGUGAAGAUUGCAUGGAUAUGCCCAUGUCUCUCAGUUUUUCCAUUUGUGAAGUUGGGGUGGGUAGUUGCUUAAAUUCAUCUCUAAGAUAUGGACUAGAAAUUCAAGGAAGACCUUAGGGAUUCAUUUAAUAGCACAGAAACUACAUAGAAUUCCCUUCCUCCCACCACCACCUUCUCUGCCCAGUAAACUCCUCUCCUCUCAAAACACAUUUCAAACAUCUCCUCCCUGGGCUUCUCUGCAGUCAGUCAUCUGUCUUCUCUGUUCCUGUAGCAGAGUCUCGGCCUGUAUUGACGGCCCCACCCAUUGUGAUGGACGACGUUUUCUGGGUGGGGGAAAUCGGUCCUGUGUCUCCCUUCCAGAUAACCUUUCCAUUUUCCCAGAACUCCUCAGUGUAAAUGUGGAUAAUGCAGAAAUACAGGGAGCAGAGAUUGUGAGCAGAAGAGAAAGGGAAGUGAAGUAACAUUCACUGAGUCUCUAUAAUGCACCUGUCAGGUGCUUCAUGUGUGUUAUUUCAUGUGAAGCCCUUACUUAAAAAUGGCCUCUCCCACAAUAACUCCCAUCCCUACACACACACUGCUUUUUCCAGCUAUGACACCUGUGAUCCUGCCAUUUCUCCCUCCUGGGACACCUUUCCUCCUGCCUGUUUCUUCCUGGGUUCCUCUUGUGUGCUCGUCUCCAUACCCAGGACCUAGUAGCCUGGGGGUUUGCCUGCCCCAGAGGAAGGUGGUCAUUGUACCCAGCCACAUGGUUAGGAUCUGCACUUAGAGUUCAGAGAGACAAAAAGCUCAAAGGAAGAGCCUGCCUGGCCCCUCCUAGCCUGAGAACAGUAGGACCCAUUCAACCAGAGACUCCCUUGUUCCAAGACUCUAGAGUUGUUCAAAGUUUUGUGAUGAUGGCUGGCCCUGGAAUGUUGACUCACCUCUUCUAAGAUUCUAGAACUCUGAGAUUCUGCAAACAAGGGAGAGGGCUUCUGCUUUAGGAUGUGAUUGGUCUCUGCCACCUCUCUGGGGGUCACCUGGCCUCAGGACUCCAGACAGGCCCCCUGGGGCCAGGACCAGCCUGGAGGAAAGCCCCGACUUGCCCCUGUCUUCAGGUCUGCUGUGGCAGAUGAAUUCUCAUUCAUAAUUGAUCCAGUUGCUUGGCAAGCAGGGGCUGCAGGCUAAUUUGGGUUGAUUUCUGUCUCUUGCAACCAAGAAGUCCCUGACUCAUAUAGUCCCAUGGAGGAGCUGGCCCUUUAAGGGAAUGACUACAUUUCACCCUCACCAGAAUCCUGAGAAGUUGGCAGGGCAAUGCCAUGUUGCAGGUCUCAGCUCAAAUGCCACCUCCUCCGAGAUGCCCUCCCUGUGUCCCUGCCCUUCUCUGCGCUCCCGCAGGUCCCUGGACUGCCCCCGCACAGUUGUGCUGGCAUCGCCUGCAGACCUGGCUCGUUCUCCGCUCCCCCGGCGGCCUGGGCGCUCCUCAAGGGCAAGGGCAGUCCUCUCGGUGGUGGCAGCUCUGCCUCACGCAGGUUCAGGCAUGGUAGAGACACUCGCUGAUGUUUGCUGAAUGAGUACAUGAAUAAAUGUCCCCCUCCGGUUCUGCGCCAGCUCUGGACGCUUGCCCCACAGGGGAGAGGGCACAGGUGACAGAGUUCAAGGUCACCAAUGGCCGGUGCGGUGGGACACCCGUCCUAGGGUCCAGCCGUACCUCAGCACAGCCCUCCUGCCCGCGUUGCCAAGGCCCUGUCAGGGACGUGACAAACAGCUUGGCUGAUGGCUUAUAAUGUCAGGGAUGAUGGAAACAGGGAGGCAACGGCUGAAAGAAUGGGCUGGGGACGCUUGUCAUAACUUUAUUUGUGGGAGAUGAGGAAACCGACGCCUGAAGAGAGGAAAUAACAUACCCAUGUUCCCCAAGAAGGAAGUCGAAGACCC